AUGAUGCAUUCACACUGGGGCAUAGCCACCUUGCCGAUUUUGACAUUGAGACUCCAUUUCGUGUUUAUGAUCGCUGCUCUCGAUGGAUUACAUAGUCAUUGGCACCCUGGGUUCAGUCUUCUCAGCAUACCUAGUUGGAUUUGGGUACCCACUUUCCUUUGUUACACACCUAUCCGUCCUACAUUGGACACUGUUAUACCUGUGCCCUUCUUAUCAGAGCCUUACAUCUUUUGAGCCCACAUAUUUCAUCGUCUUACAUGACCUUAUCCCUUUCUCUUGAUCAGGGGAAGAUAUGGGCUAGUCUUGAG
rnacentral:lncRNA from 1 species